UUGAAAAGAUAUGUUUAAAAUAAGAAUUGGAUUUUUGACAUAUGUAAGGUUACAACAUCGAAAAAUUCAUACUUGUAUACAUAUUUUAUCAUUGUCGAUUCUUGGAAUAUCCCCUUACUUUAGAAAGACAUGCCUGUCCUCAGAAAAUGGUGGUGCACAGUACUGCUUGAGAACUUCCACCUGGAUGGGCACGGCAGAAGGUUCCCACACUUCAUGGAGGAGGCCAAACAAAUGGCGGCUGGACUACUUCCAUCAGUCUUCAGACUGAAGCGAAAAAGAGAAUGAGUUGGAGCUGAUGGCUGUCAGCAUGAAGAAGCUAUAUCUUUAGGCUUCUGUAGAUUAUGUUAAAUAAAUUGUGUGGAAACUUA